CCUACGGGUGGCAGCAGUGAGGAAUAUUGGUCAAUGGUCGAGAGACUGAACCAGCCAAGCCGCGUGAGGGAUGACUGUCCAACGUAUCGUAACCCUCUUUUGUCACGGAACAAAGGCGGGGACGUGUCCCCGGAUGAGUGUACCUGAAGAAAAAGCAUCGGCUACCUCCGUGCCAGCAGCCGCGGUAAUACGGAGGAUGCGAGCGUUAUCCGGAUGUAUUGGGUUUAAAGGGUUCGCAUGCGGACUGUUAAGUCAGCGGUAAAAGGCAGGGGCUCAACCCCGUCCCGCCGUUGAAACUGGGAGUCUCGAGUUGGAGAGAAGUACGCGGAAUGCGUGGUGUAGCGGUGAAAUGCAUAGAUAUCGCGCAGAACUCCGAUUGCGAAGGCAGCAUGCCGGCUCCACACUGACGCUGAGGCACGAAAGCGUGGGUAUCGAACAGGAUUAGAUACCCGAGUAGUC
rnacentral:rRNA from 1 species